rnacentral:tRNA from 1 species
GCCCACGUAGCUCAGACGGUAGAGCACUCCCUUGGUAAGGGAGUGGUCAUGGGUUCAAGUCCCAUCGUGGGCUCCA